AUUGAACGCUGGCGGCAGGCCUAACACAUGCAAGUCGAGCGAGCGGCGGACGGGUGAGUAAUGUCUGGGAAACUGCCUGAUGGAGGGGGAUAACUACUGGAAGCGGUAGCUAAUACCGCAUACCAUCAGAUGUGCCCAGAUGGGAUUAGCUUGUAGGUGGGGUAACGGCUCACCUUGGCGACGAGCCCUAGCUGGUCUGAGAGGUUGACCAGCCACACUGGAACGGAGACACGGUCCAGACUCCUACGGGAGGCAUCAGUGGGGAAUAUUGCACAAUGGGCGCAAGCCUGAUGCAGCCAUGCGGCGUGUGUGAAGAGGGCCUUCGGGUUGUAAAGCACUUUCAGCGGGGAGGCGUUACCCGCAGAAGAAGCACCGGCUAACUCCGUGCCAGCAGCCGCGGUAAUUC
rnacentral:rRNA from 1 species